rnacentral:rRNA from 1 species
CGCCAGACUCCUACGGGAGGCAGCAGUGAGGAAUAUUGGUCAAUGGGCGGAAGCCUGAACCAGCCAAGUCGCGUGAGGGAAGAAGGCCCUGCGGGUCGCAGACCUCUUUGGACGGGGAGCAAGGCCGCCGACGUGUCGGCGGAAGGAGAGUACCCGUAGAACAAGCAUCGGCUAACUCCGUGCCAGCAGCCGCGGUAAUACGGAGGAUGCGAGCGUUAUCCGGAUUUACUGGGUGUAAAGGGGGCGCAGACGGCCAUGGCAAGCCCGGUGUGAAAGGCGGGGGCAUAACCCCUGGACUGCACUGGGAACUGUCAGGCUGGAGUGCCGGAGGGGUAAGCGGAAUUCCUGGUGUAGCGGUGAAAUGCGUAGAUAUCAGGAGGAACACCGGCGGCGAAGGCGGCUUACUGGACGGCAACUGACGUUGAGGCCCGAAAGCGUGGGGAGCGAACAGGAUUAGAUACCCUAGUACA